GACGAACGCUGGCGGCGUGCCUAAUACAUGCAAGUCGAACGCUUCUUUUUCCACCGGAGCUUGCUCCACCGGAAAAAGAGGAGUGGCGAACGGGUGAGUAACACGUGGGUAACCUGCCCAUCAGAAGGGGAUAACACUUGGAAACAGGUGCUAAUGCCGUAUAACAAUCAAAACCGCAUGGUUUUGAUUUGAAAGGCGCUUUCGGGUGUCGCUGAUGGAUGGACCCGCGGUGCAUUAGCUAGUUGGUGAGGUAACGGCUCACCAAGGCCACGAUGCAUAGCCGACCUGAGAGGGUGAUCGGCCACAUUGGGACUGAGACACGGCCCAAACUCCUACGGGAGGCAGCAGUAGGGAAUCUUCGGCAAUGGACGAAAGUCUGACCGAGCAACGCCGCGUGAGUGAAGAAGGUUUUCGGAUCGUAAAACUCUGUUGUUAGAGAAGAACAAGGAUGAGAGUAACUGUUCAUCCCUUGACGGUAUCUAACCAGAAAGCCACGGCUAACUACGUGCCAGCAGCCGCCGCGG
rnacentral:rRNA from 1 species